rnacentral:rRNA from 1 species
CCCUUAGAUGUUCUGGGCCGCACGCGCGCUACACUGACGAUGGCAACGAGUUUUUCCUUCGCCGAAAGGUGUGGGUAAUCUUUUGAAACAUCGUCGUGCUGGGGAUAGAUCAUUGCAAUUUUUGAUCUUGAACGAGGAAUUCCUAGUAAGCGCGAGUCAUCAGCUCGCGUUGAUUACGUCCCUGCCCUUUGUACACACCGCCCGUCGCUACUACCGAUUGAAUGGUUUAGUGAGGACUCCUGAUUGGCGCCGCCGCCCCGGCAACGGAGCAGCGGACUGCCGAAAAGUUGUUCAAACUUGAUCAUUUAGAGGAAGUAAGAGUCGUAACA